rnacentral:misc_RNA from 1 species
GAUGAAGAACGCAGAGAAAUGCGAUACGUAAUGUGAAUUGCAGAAUUCAGUGAAUCAUCGAGUCUUUGAACGCACAUUGCGCCCCCUGGUAUUCCGGGGGGCAUGCCUGUCCGAGCGUCAUUGCUGCCCUCAAGCACGGCUUGUGUGUUGGGCCUCCGUCCUCCUCCCGGGGGACGGGCCCGAAAGGCAGCGGCGGCACCGCGUCCGGUCCUCGAGCGUAUGGGGCUUCGUCACCCGCUCUUGUAGGCCCGGCCGGCGCUUGCCGACACAUCAAUCUUUUUUCCAGGUUGACCUCGGAUCAGGUAGGGAUACCCGCUGAACUUAAGCAUAUCAAUAAGCGGAGGA